GGGGAUGUAUGACAGCUGGUGCUGUCCCCGGACUUCAAAUCCGUGUGUCGGGGCGCAGAACGUCCCGAGGUGUGUUCGAUUCGCACACGUCCCCGCCA
rnacentral:tRNA from 1 species